UCCCUGGGAGUCCAGUGGUUAGGACUCUACACUUUCAUUGCUGGUGGCAUGGGUUCAAUCCCUGGCCAGGGAA
rnacentral:tRNA from 1 species